AUUGAACGCUGGCGGCAGGCCUAACACAUGCAAGUCGAGCGGAGCGGCGGACGGGUGAGUAAUGCCUAGGAAUCUGCCCGGUAGUGAGGGAGAACGUCCGGUAAGGGGCGCUAAUAUAGCACCCUAUCAGCUGAGACUAGGUCGGAGUAGUUAGUUGGUGGGGUAAAGGCGUAGCAAGGCGACGAUCCGUAACUGAGCUGAGAGGAUGAUCAGUCACACUGUAACUGAGACACGGUCCAGACUCCUACGGGAGGCAGCAGUAGGGAAUAUUGGACAAUGGGCGAAAGCCUGAUCCAGCCAUGCCGCGUGUGUGAAGAAGGUCUUCGGAUUGUAAAGCACUUUAGGUUGGGAGGCGUUACCAACAGAAUAAGCACCGGCUAACUACGUGCCAGCAGCCGCGGUAAUAC
rnacentral:rRNA from 1 species